rnacentral:rRNA from 1 species
AACGAACGCUGGCGGCAGGCUUAACACAUGCAAGUCGAGCGCCCCGCAAGGGGAGCGGCAGACGGGUGAGUAACGCGUGGGAACGUACCUUUUGGUUCGGAACAACUCCGGGAAACUGGAGCUAAUACCGGAUAAGCCCUAACGGGGAAAGAUUUAUCGCCGAAAGAUCGGCCCGCGUCUGAUUAGCUAGUUGGUGAGGUAACGGCUCACCAAGGCGACGAUCAGUAGCUUGUCUGAGAGGAUGAUCAGACACACUGGGACUGAGACACGGCCCAGACUCCUACGGGAGGCAGCAGUGGGGAAUAUUGGACAAUGGGCGCAAGCCUGAUCCAGCCAUGCCGCGUGAGUGAUGAAGGCCUUAGGGUUGUAAAGCUCUUUUGUCAGGGAAGAUAAUGACUGUACCGGAAGAAUAAGCCCCGGCUAACUUCGUG